GCGGGGUGGAAAUGGGGGGGAAGGGGGAGGGCAUGGGGGGGUGAGGAUUGGAGGGGAGGAAGGGGGGGGGAUCGGGGAGACCCCCACGGACUGGAUACUGCCCCCAUCACCCGUGGAUCUGAGCAGGAGCAUCGAGGAGGCGCUGAGGGGGGGGGCGGGUAGUGGGGGAAAUGGGGGCUGAGGGGUGAGGGGGGUGGCUGCCAUUGCGGGCAAUGGGUGCACGAGGGUCUGCUGCAAGGGAUGCAGAUGGGGCUGGUGCAAGGGAUGCAUUGGAGGGCAGUGGGGGUGAUGCAUGUGGGGCUGUUGCAAGGGAUGCAACUGGGGUUGGUGCAAGGGAUGCACUUGGUGCAAGGGAUGCAUUGGGGGGCAGUGGAAGUGAUGCACAUGGGUCUGGUGCAAGGGAUGGGGCAGCUGGGCCUGGUGCAAAUGAUGCAUGUGGGUCUGGUGCAAGGGGUGCAGCUGGAGUUGGUGCAAGGGAUGCAUUGAGGGGCAGUGGAAGUGAUGCACGUGGGGCUGGUGCAAGGGAUGCAGCUGGGAGUGGUGCAAGGGAUGCAAUGGGAGGUGGUGCAAGGGAUGGAGGUACUGGGCCUGGUGCAAGGGAUGCACUUGGUGCAAAGGAUGCACUGAGGGGCAGUGGAAGUGAUGCAUGUGGGGCUGGUGCAAGGGAUGCAGAUGGGGGUGGUGCAAGGGAUGCAGCUGGGAUUGGUGCAAGGGAUGCAUUGAGGGGCAGUGGAGGUGAUGCAUGUGGGGCUGGUGCAAGGGAUGCAUUGGGGGGUGGUGCAAGGGAUGCAUGUGGGUCUGGUGCAAAGGAUGGGGCAGCUGGGGUUGGUGCAAUGGAUGCACUUGGUGCAAAGGAUGCAGUGGGGGGCAGUGCAAGGGAUGCAAAUGGGGGUGCUGCAAGGGAUGCAUGUGGGUCUGGUGCAAGGGAUGCAGCUGGGAUUGGUGCAAGGGAUGCAUUGGAGGGCAGUGGAGGUGAUGCAUGUGGGGCUGGUGCAAGGGAUGCAUUGAGGGGUGGUGCAAGUGAUGCACAUGGGCCUGGUGCAAGGGAUGGUGCAGCUGGGCCUGGUGCAAAUGAUGCAUGUGGGUCUGGUGCAAGGGGUGCAGCUGGAGUUGGUGCAAGGGAUGCAUUGCAGGGUAGUGGGGGUGAUGCAGAUUGGGGUGGUGCAAGGGAUGGAGGUACUGGGCCUGGUGCAAGGGAUGCAGCUGGGACUGCUGCAAGGGAUGCAAUGGGAGGUGAUGCAAGGGAUGGAGGUACUGGGCCUGGUGCAAGGGAUGCAUUGGAGGGCAGUGGGGGUGAUGCAUGUGGGUCUGGUGCAAAGGAUGGUGCAGCUGGGACUGGUGCAAAGGAUGCGCUUGGUGCAAAGGAUGCACUGGAGGGCAGUGCAAGGGAUGCAAAUGGGGGUGCUGCAAGGGAUGCAUGUGGGUCUGGUGCAAGGGAUGGUGCAGCCGGGAUUGGUGCAAGGGAUGCACGUGGGGUUGGUGCAAGGGAUGCAUGUGGGUCUGGUGCAAGAGAUGCAGAAGGGAUUGGUGCAAGGGAUGCAUGUGGGGGUGCUGCAAGGGAUGCAAAUGGGGUUGGUGCAACUGGGGUUGGUGCAAGGGAUGCACACGGGAUUGGUGCAAGAGAUGCAGUGGGAGUCGGUGCAAGGGAUGCACCAGGGAUCCGUGCAAAUGAUGCACGUGAGAUUGGUGCAAGGGAUGGUGCAAAUGAGGUUGGUGCAAGGGAUGCAGGGGGUGUUGGUGCAAACAAUGCACGUGGGAUCGGUGCAAGAUACGCACGUGGGCCCGGUGCAGCCAAUGGUGCAUCUGUGCUCAGUGCAAACGACGCACGUGGCUCUGGUGCAAGGGAUGGUGCAGGGGCUGUUGGUGCAAGGGAUGCAAUGGAGGUCGGUGCAAAGCAUGCACGUGGCUCUGGUGCAAAUUGUGCACCACGGGAUGCAUCGUGGGAGGCACAGGCCAGCCUUGCACCAGGGAUUUGCACAAGUGUUGCACCAGAGCUGGAUGCAGGAGGAAGCUUUGCACGAGGCUCUUGCACAAGUGUUGCACCAGAGCUGGAUGCAAAUGGUGCAGGAGGGCCCCGUGCAAACCUUGCACAAGGGUCUUGCACAAGUGAUGCAGCAGAGCUGGGUGGAAAUGGUGCUGGAUGGCCCCGUGCAAGCUUUGCACCAGGCUCUUGCACAAGUGUUGCACCAGAGCUGGAUGGAAACAGUGCAUCAAGGCCUCGUGCAAGCUUUGCACCGGGCUCUUGCACAAGUGUUGCAGCAGAGCUGGUUGCAAAUGGUGCUGGAGGGCCUCGUGCAAACCUUGCACCAGGGUUUUGCACAAGCAUUGCAGCAGAGCUGGAUGGAAAUGGUGCUGGAGGGCCCAGUGCAAGCUUUACACCAGGCUCUUGCACAAGCACUGCAGCAGAGCUGGAUGCAUGCAGUGCACUGGGGCCCCGUGCAAGCUUUGCACCAGGCUCUUGCACAAUCAUUGCACGAGGAGCUGCAUCUCCCCCCGCCCCCAUUGCUGCCCCAUUGCGGGGGGGGGGUUGGUGCCCCCCCAGUGACACCAUUGAGCUGUGACCCACAGUUCACAAUUGGGGGGGGGCAGCGCUGAGACCCCCCCCCUCCCCCUUUAAUUACCCUAAUGACCCUCAUUAAUGACCCUCAUUAAUUAAUACCCAAAUGAGGGGGGACACAAAGCCCCCCCCCCCAAUGAAGCUCGCCCCAUAGAUCCGGGGGGCACUGGGGGCCCCCCAACGAUCUGCCCCCCAUAAUAAAGAGAAUGAAUGGAUGAAGGAUGAUGGUGUG
rnacentral:lncRNA from 1 species